AAGGAUCAUAGUUGUCCGAAUAAGGGAGCGCAGGUCGCUCCCGUUUCACAACCCAUUUUCUUUGGACCGGCAGUGCCUCUGCAAAGAGCCUGUCCGAUCAACCAUGCGUAUCUUGGUCAAUAACUAGAAAAAUAAAUACAGUUUACACAACUGGUAGCGUUGGAUCCCUUGGCACGCCAUUCGAUGAAGACCGUAGCAAAUUGCGAUAAGUGGUGUGAUAUGCGAGUCCAAAACUUAUACGUGAACCAUCGAAUUGUUGAACGCAUUGCAUCGAGCUUUGCCCAAGCACGAUAUGCCCCAUUGAGCGUCCUUAAGUCUUCAGGAUUAUUACUUUCCUGAGUUCGGGAUUCAUGGCCUUCACCGGUCACGCUUCCUUAGAUGCAUUUACGCGUCACAUGAAUGUAGCGCUCCUUGUCGUACACUUCGAGGCGCUUCAGACAACGUGUUCGCCAUCCGCUCGGAACCUAUGGUGAUGAGCAGAAUCGCGUUCCGUCCUCGGAUGGUCCGCCCUUACUUGACUUAACCUCACGGGGGCAAGACGACCCGCUAGACUUAAGCAUAUUAAUCAGCGGAGGAAAAGAAACUAACAAGGAUUCCCCUAGUAACUGCGAGUGAAGAGGGAAGAGC
rnacentral:rRNA from 1 species